CUGAGAAGGUUGAGCUUAUAGAUGAUCAGUUUGCAGAGGCUUACCUUCAGCAUAUCAAGUUUGAGUCAUUAGAAAUAAAGCCAAAUGAAUAUAAAAGAGAAAUAGAGGAGCAAAUUUGAGCAGAAACAUGUCAAAAGUUGAAGUUCUUUAAAGAUGCCAAGAUAAAAAAAAUUCAAAUGGAAGUGAAAAGAAAGUGCGAGAAGGAAUUAGUUGUCUUCCAGAAUGAUUUUUGAUAAUGCUUGUCAAGCAAAAUCUGAAGCCCUCAUUCUUUAUGAAAAGAGUAUCCUUUAGAUAAAUGAAAAGCACCAAGAGUGAACCAGAAGCUACAGAAAAACAUAACAGCAUGACUGAGGACUUGGAAGAUGGGAGCAGAAUACAAAGUCCCUUGAGGAGAGCUAUGACAGAAAGCUCAGGAGCAAACUUCUAAAGUAUCAACUUGAACUAAAGGAGGACCACAUCAUUAGAACUAAUGGACAGAUCGAAGAUGAAAGGAAGAAUAAAGGAAAAGCUGUUUCUUUGCAAGUGGAGCUCCUAGCUAUUAAUGUAAAGAAGGAGGAACUCAAUCAAUCUGUAAAUUGUAUGAAAGAAUUUAAGUUUCAGUUAGGGUCUCUCAAAGCCCACUAUUUGGCAAUAACAAAACAAAAACGUAUGCUUAAUGAAAAGGUUAAAGAGAUGCGUGAUUAUUCACUACUAAAAGAAGAGAAACUGGGAGUUUCUGACACAAAAUAAAUUACUUAAAUGACAAGUGGAAGAGAAUAGAAAUGAAAACUUGUGUCUCCUAAA
rnacentral:lncRNA from 1 species